UACGAAGGGGGCUAGCGUUGCUCGGAAUCACUGGGCGUAAAGCGCACGUAGGCGGCUUUCUAAGUCAGGGGUGAAAUCCUGGAGCUCAACUCCAGAACUGCCUUUGAUACUGGAGAGCUUGAGUCCGGGAGAGGUGAGUGGAACUCCGAGUGUAGAGGUGAAAUUCGUAGAUAUUCGGAAGAACACCAGUGGCGAAGGCGGCUCACUGGCCCGGUACUGACGCUGAGGUGCGAAAGCGUGGUGAGCAAACAGG
rnacentral:rRNA from 1 species